GUUGAGAUGGAUGUGCGGCCACACGAGGAAGGAUCGAGUCUGGAAUGAUGAUAUACGAGAUAGAGUUGGGGUGGCACCAAUUGAAGAGAAUCUUGUCCAACAUCGUCUGAGAUGGUUUGGGCAUAUUCAGCGCAGGCCUCCAGAAGCUCCAAUGCAUGGCGGACGGCUAAAGCGGGCGCAGAAUGUCAAGAGAGGUCGGGGUAGACCGAAUUUGACAUGGUAGGAGUUCGUUAAGAGAGACCCGAAGGGUUGGAGUAUCACCAAAGAAUUAGCUAUGGACAGGGGUGCAUGGAAGCUUGCUAUCCAUGUGUUAGAGCCAAGUUGGUCGCGAGAUCUUAUGGGUUUCACCUUUAGCCUACCCCAACUUGUUUGGGACUAAAGGCUUUGUUGUUGUUGUUGUUGCCAAAUUAGUAGUAUUAAUUUGUCAAAUUAAUUGUGCGAAAAAUUACGGAGAUGGGAUCUGCUGUACAUGCCUAUUUCCCUUGGUUACCAUAAUAGCUUCAUCAGUUUCCAAAUUAAUUGCCUCAAGUUGCCAAAGAUGGAUUUGCUAUACUCACCUACACCUAGUUUCCAAAUUAGUUGUCUCUAAUUGGUAGAUUUGCUGUAUCAGUUUCCAAAUUAAUUGUCUCAAGUUGUCGAAGAUGGAUUUGAUGUACUCACCUACAUCUAGUUUCCAGAUUAGUUAACUCUAACUGCCAGAUUGGUUGUACUAAUUUCCAAAUUAAUUGUGUAAGUUACCAAAAAUGAAUUUGUUGUACACGUAAUUUCUAGAUUAGUUGUCUCUACUUUCCAGAUUUGGUGUAUCAAUUGCCAUACUGGUUGCCGACCUUGCCAUUCUUGUGCCCGUGCCUUCCCCUUGUCGAAAAUCCCUAGCGUUCGCAUACAUGUGACUGAGAGAUCCCGUGGCACCUCCUAGAGUCCUAGGCCCCAUUCUAUCCCCUCGUCGUCUAGCUAGCGGGUGAUUCAGAUCACCCCAUGAAGUCUGUAAAAAAAACACCGAAAAAACAGUGAUGCAAAACAGAGAGAAAGGAGCGUGGAUGCAGGUGCGCUCAUCGGAAGCCGAGGCGUGCUCGCAUCAGAGCAGGCGCGCGACAAGGAGCGGCACGAGCUACCUCUGGUAUGGAGGAGCUAUCUUGCUGAAGAAAUAAAGGGAUAGAGGAGAGGGGGGGGGGGGAUAGAAGAGCGGCAGAGAAGACAAUGCCAGAUACUAAGCAUCCUGUGGGCUUGAUGUGUGUGCUACUUCUGUUUCGUUGAACCAUGUGUUGCGCAUGCAUGGAUCUCAGCGCCCCGCCGCACGAGAGGGUAAGGAUGCGCACGCCCCUCGUUAGAUUUUCCCAACUAUGAAAAAUAUUCGAACUCUUGCCGUGAUCAGUGAUCAAUUGACUGCCUAGUCUUAGUGGAGGCUGUGGACUCUUACUGCCACCACCUAACUGCCUACACUCAGUGGCUUGAUGGUGAUGCUCUUGCUCGUGUUGUGUCCGUCUUCGUCGCGAAUGUCUCGCCUUAGAUUUCUUAUGAGAUCGUGGGACUCUUUCGGCCUUCAUCAUAUGGACUCACCUUCGUCAGCGGUACCAACAGUCUGGUGAUGCCAUUUACCAGUCCGCAGGGGCAAAACUUCAGCAGGAUGAUGUCGCUGUUGAUGAGUUCUACGCUUAGAGUUCUGCUAUUCAGCGCCAGUUGGGUUAUCUUUGCAUUGUUUGUUGUCACACAUGCUUUUGUUGUGUGGUUGUUUGUGUUGACCUGGAGUUCCAACAAAUUUCUGAGUUCUUGAUGUGGCUCUGCAAGGAGUUUGAGCCACGACAUGCCCAACUCUUUGUGAGUGUGCUCCAUGUCUCUCUUCUGAAGGCACUCACAUAGAUACACGUAGAGACUCAUCUGCAUGGUGCUGGUUUAAUAGAGCUUCCUCUAGUGCUACACUGAAUACUACUAGCUACUUACCCAUGUGUUGCAACUGGGCAUACAUGUUAUACUGGUUCACAAUCAUGUUCGACAUAUACCUUAGGGCAUGUACAAUGGUUGAUAAGAUAGUCUUAUCUUAAAUUUUGCAUGUAAUUUAGGGAUGACAAAAAACAUGUCUACAAUGGGUCAUCUCUUAGCCUUAUCUUCAAUAACUAGCUAUUCCUAAAAAUGUGGUGAGACAUAUUGUGCUAAGAGAUCAUCUCUUGUCUUCUCUUAAAUAAGAGAAGGCAAGUCUUUUCUUACGAUUUCUCUCUCCUCCACCUCAUCAUUUAUCCUACGUGGCAUUGCUAAGAUAGAACCAUUGUACAUGCCCUUAUGCCCAUCAUAUUCUAGAUUUUUGUAAGAUUUGAUUUGAUUUGAGUAUGGGUAGGGGAUGGUAAGGAAAGAUUUGAUUUAGUCGGGGUGUUAUUAAGAUUUGGUUUUAGUUGGGUAAGGGUAAGGGAAGUCAAGGAAAGUUUUGAUUUAGUUGAGGUUUUGAUAAGGUUUGAUUUGAUUGAGUUGAUGCGGGACAUGGUUAUGGUAAGAUUUGAUUGAGUUAAUGCAUGAUAUGGUUUCCAAUAGGACAAGGAAAGGAAAGUAUUGAUGUGGUUUUGAUUUUUCCAAACCAAGGAGGGCAUGGAGAGGAAAAACCAAUGUAAGGGGGCGAGGGAGGAGGUGAGGAGAACGUACCAACUCCGCUUUAAUAUCGCUUGCACCUCCUUCUAGUUCAUGGUCUUCUGUGGUAUGCCUUAGGGGGCAUCCUUAGAGCAUCUACAAGUGGGCUCCUCAAACCCCCGCUAAACAUUCGGGGGACAACCCGGUCACUGCCUGGUCACGAGUUCGCCACCCAACAGCUCGCCUAUACCAAGCCCAAACGUCCGACCUGACCGGCACCCCCCAUACCUAGUCUGAAUGUGGGGCGGUCCGGACGCGGCCCCCACGUUGGACCGGCCUAGUCUGACCCCACAAAUACCCCACCCCGGACAAAACCCUAGUCCAGAGUCCAUUCUUGACUGCUCCGCUCCAUUGCUUCUCCUUCCGUAGUUCCAUCCACUCCGCGUCCCCUCCCCUCCCCACACCAUGUCCAACUCAAGCAGUGGAUCCGGCAAUGAGUCGGACUCCAUCGUCUGGGGGGCGCUCAAGGAGGAAUCUAGCUCCUUCGCUCCGGACGACGAGUAGCACAUCAUCCGCAUUGCCCUUCGCUGUUCGUGGAUGGAUAAGGGCGGGAACUCAAGCUCCGCGGCCUCGGUGGCCUGAAGGGGCAGCUCCGCAUUGGCCUGAAGCCGCACAUCGUUGUCCGUGCCCUCCCUUGUCAUGUGGCGGGGCGAUUAGUGGUGCAUGGCACCUCUAUCCCUUGCUUCUCCCGAGCGACGCUGGGUGCUCGUGCCCGCACUGCAGAGCCUGCUGCGAUGGCUGCCUGAGUUGGAGGCGCGGGUCGCUCGCCAUGCAAGGCAGAGGGCUGCGUAGGCCUUCAGCAGGCAUGGGUGUUGGUUGUGCACCCCGCGCUCGAGCCCUCCCACCGAUCUCCUCCGCGAUGCAUCCGCCGGUCCUUCACCUUGGUGGAGACGGACGCUCGCCGCCGCCGCUGUCACAAAAAUGUAAAGGCGCUCCGGAUUGGCAUCGAGAAGUCCGAGCUCGCGAAGCAGAAGGCAGCGGCUGUGGCAAGAGCCGCCCGACUCACUAAGGAGCAGGCCCGCGCCGCUAGGUGUCUAGCCGGGAUCCGUUUCUCCUCUUCAUCUGACAACAAAACAACCAACAACGGCGAUGACUCCCUACGCCGAAGACUACAACCACUGCUUCCGAUACCCCAAAUGGAAGCGACCAACGAGGAAGUGGUUAAGAGCGUGUUUGGUUCUAUGUCCUCGAGUUGAAGUGCCUCGCUUGGAGAGCGCAUGGAACCGCCUGCGCAUUGUUUGCUUGGUGAUCUGGGGAAUCGACUGCACGCCUGGCCUGGAGCACCCAGGCGAGCGGAAUCGAGCGCCUAGGGGCGCUGAAGCAGCUGCCUGGCAUUAAUCACGAGCAUCAUUGCUAAUGGCACCAUGCCUUGUCGCCAUCGGCACCGUCGUUCGAUGGCGCGCUCUUCCUUUGCAUCCGCCAUCUUGGGCCCUGGAAGUGCGCGAGCCUCUCGCGCCCUCCACACAUCUGCAUGGUCGAGCAGAAGCUCUGCCCUCUCUGCCGACGAGGCGUGAGCUCUGGCUUGUCGGCAACCAUGAAUAUUCGGCAGCCAUAGCCAUGGGAACAAAGAUUCUGCACAUCCGCCAUGGUCGCCGGGUAUUGCCCCAUUGAUGUGAGGUGGAGGGGGUAUUCAAGGAGAGAUGCCAUGUUAAUGGAGUGACGCAAGUUCCGGUGUUGAGGGGAUUAGGCGAUCUGGACUAAGCAACUGUUUUUCCUUUUCCUAUUUUUGUUGUGCUCGGUUUAUUUCCUAAGGAAAUGCUCGGUGGACUGGUGCGUUAUGGGCUUGGUUGGCGUAAUGGUCUCCUGAUGGUGUUUAUACACUCUUAAUAAUACAUAUACCAGGCUAAUACAUAUACAGGCUCAGGGCACCAACCAAACAUCUCUCCAGCAGGAUUGCCUGACUAGGCAAAAAAUCAUCAACAUCUCAGGCUGAGGAUUUAGUCCAGGCAUGAAGCUGAGGACAGUAACCAAACUAGCGAUAAGUCUGGCAUCCCCUCCGUAUCUACUAGUAGUUUGCUAUCGUAUUUUGCUAUGUAGCUAUGUUGAACAUGCUAUCGAACAAUCUAUGUCUUGCUAUGUCGAGCUUGGUAUGUCCUGUCCUAUUUAUAUGUUGAUCUACGUCUUGCUAUUUUCACGUUGCAUGCAUUGCAUGGAUUUGGGGGUUUGCAUAUGAGGGGGACGGCUGUGGACGCGGACAUUUGAGGGGUGACCGGACACGUCCGAGGGUAUAUAGGGGCUCAAAUUAGUACUACCUUCGUUCCAAAUUAUAAGAUGUUUUGGAUAUUUCAAUAUGGUCUACAUAGACUGAAAUGAGUGAACAAACACACUAAAACACGUCUAUAUACAUCCGAUUCUCAUUUUGUUUUACAAGAUCUUAUAAUUUGGAAUGGAGGGAGUACGUUCUGGUUGUAGAUGCUCUAAAGUGUUAGGGUUGUAAACUUGGUAAACAGAUUCAGUUAUCUUAAUGUUCACCUCCGAGCUUCUGAUGGCGAGCCUCUUUAUGGUCUGACUCACAGCCGUCAUCUUGUUAGUUGCCUUGUCUGUCUAGCAUCUCCUAUCCAGUUCGCGUUCUGGGUCUACAAAUCUUUUGAAUCUCUGGCCACUUUCUGCUUAAUGUGUCUUUUCUUAGUUAGUUUCUCGUUUGAGCAGACAAAGAAAUAUAUUGCAAUUUCCCGUUUGAGCAGAGGCCGAGGUUGCAAGCUAUGGCUCUUGUGUCAGAGGUGACUUGAUUACGGUGGUUACUUGAGGAUUUUUGUCUUUCUGUUACUACAUCGACUCCUCUUUUGUCUAACAACACAUGUGCUAUUGGUAUUUCUUGAGAUCUGGUAAAAGCAUGAGCUCAACAAACAUAUUGGUAUGACGCUUAUAUGAGAUAAUAGGUACAAGAUCAGGUUGCUCUUCAGUAUUGCCUUGGGAGCUUCAGUUGGAGGCCUUGGGAAUAGAUCAGGAUGCUUCCCUUGUAAAAGCUGCGCUGAUAGCUGCUAAGGCAUAGGGUGCUGAUGACAUCGCUGACAACGAAGGCAAGGGCAUCAUGCUAUUUGUCAGUAUAAGGGAAGCGAAGAGAAUGGUGAGGACUGUGGCUGUUCUACUGAAGGAAGCUGUACGUGAUAGUUUCUUUUUACGAUGAUUGUUUUCUUCCUGCCGAUUCCUCACGAGGAUCUGGGGCCUCUUCCCAUUGGAGGCAUAUGUAUUCCUGAGUAUAUCUUGCAUGUACUGUUUGUCAUAGCAAGCAACUUGGGACCAGCUUCAGACAAACAGUAUGUUUCAGUUUUGAACCAAACUAGGCUACUCCUGCAAUGAAUGAAUCUCCCUUUUGGUUUGCACA